rnacentral:rRNA from 1 species
GACGAACGCUGGCGGCGUGCUUAACACAUGCAAGUCGAGCGGUAAGGCCCUUUCGGGGGUACACGAGCGGCGAACGGGUGAGUAACACGUGGGUGACCUGCCCUCAGCUCUGGGAUAAGCCUGGGAAACCGGGUCUAAUACCGGAUAUGACUCCAUGACGCAUGUUGUGGGGUGGAAAGCCUUGUGCGGCUGAGGAUGGGCCCGCGGCCUAUCAGCUUGUUGGUGGGGNGAUGGCCUACCAAGGCGACGACGGGUAGCCGGCCUGAGAGGGCGACCGGCCACACUGGGACUGAGACACGGCCCAGACUCCUACGGGAGGCAGCAGUGGGGAAUCUUGCGCAAUGGGCGAAAGCCUGACGCAGCGACGCCGCGUGAGGGAUGACGGCCU